rnacentral:lncRNA from 1 species
AGACCUGGGAUGGGGAGGCAGUGGGAGGAAACAGGUGCUGUGUGAGCAUUACUGGCUGACCGACUCUACCCCGGACACCCAUGGUCACAUCACCAUCCACCUCCUAGCUGAGGAGCCUGAGGAUGAGUGGACCAAGCGGGAAUUCCAGCUGCAGCACGUUGUCCAGCAACAUCAACGGAGGGUGGAGCAACUGCAGUUCACCACCUGAUCCGACCACAGCAUCCUUGAGGCUCCCAGCUCCCUGCUCGCCUUUAUGGAGCUGGUACAGUAGCAGGCAAGGGCCACCCAGGGCGUGGGACCCAUCCUGGUGCACUGCAGGUGACAGCAGCUCCUCAGGGGCUGUCCCUGCGGUGUGGGCAUGGGCCGGACAGGCACCUUCGUGGCCCUGUCGAGGCUGCUGCAGCAGCUGGAGGAGGAGCAGAUGGUAGACGUGUUCCAUGCUGUGUAUGCACUCCGGAUGCACCAGCCCCUCAUGAUCCAGACCCUGAGCCAGUACGUCUUCCUGCACAGCUGCCUACUGAACAAGAUUCUGGAAGGACCCUUCAACAUCUCUGAGUCUUGGCCCAUCUCUGUGACGGACCUCCCGCAGGCGUGUGCCAAGAGGGCAGCCAGUGCCAAUGCUGGCUUCUUGAAGGAGUACGAGCUCUUGCUGUAGGCCAUCAAGGACGAGGCUGGCUUUUCCGCACCCCCGCCUGGCUAUGAGCAGGACAGCCCCGUCUCCUAUGACCGUUCUCAGGGGCAGUUUUCUCCGGUGGAGGAGAGCCCCCCUGACGACAUGCCCGAAGCCUGGCUCUUCCCUGUGAGAUGAUGCUGGUUUUGCCACUGUUUCCUGCCCUCUCUGACCACCUGUACUUCCCGGGCUGGGGCUGCUGGGGGCUCCCAGAGUUGUGGACUGGGCAGGGGGCACCUUCAGUCUCUGGAAGCCAAUGAUCUGUGCUCUGCAGGGUGGGCCCUCUGGCCGUGAUCAUACGGUGCUGACUGGCCCCGCAGGGCCAAAGGAGCUCUGGGAGCUGGUGUGGCAGCACAGGGCUCAUGUGCUUGUCUCUCUUUGCCCACCCAAUGUCAUGGAGAAGGUGACAGAGCAGAGGACAGAGGAAGGGAGGCUCAGGAGUUAGGGCCAUAGGAAUUCUGGCCAACGGAGAUGCAGCCCGUAGUCACAGACAUGGUGACGGUGCACUGGGUGGCUGAGAGCAGCACAGCAGGCUGGUUCUGUACCCUCCUCAGGGUCACACAUGGGGAGAGCAGGAAGGAAAGGGAGGUGCAGAGACUGCAAUUUCCAUACCUGGAGCCUGGGCAUGAGCUGCCCGCCACCACCCUGCUGCCCUUCCUGGCUGCUGUGGGCCAGUGCUGCUCUCGGGGCAACAACAAGAAGCCGGGCACACUGCUCAGCCACUCCAAGUGUUGUUGGACAAUGGUCUUGGGGGAGUGGACAAUGGUCUUGGGGGAGCGGACACUGGAAGCCCCUCCCUGCCCUUCUGGCAUAGCCUCAGAUCUCCCUGGGCUCUGCUUGGGUUAUGGGUCAAAAGGACACAGUCUCACAAUGCCCCUGUCUUCUCCACACCCUACCCUGUCCUCAGGAAUAUGGUGGGAAUUUACCGCCUCCCUCCCUAGGUCCAGGCUGGCCGGCUGACCAAGUGUCCGGUGUCCCUUCUCAGUCCCUGCGCCCAGGUUGGGUUUUCCCACAUCCGUGGACACCCCCGCCACACCCCCUUUAGGUACCUCAUCCACCUCUAGGUCAGUUGCAGCAAGGGUGCAACCCAGCUGGGCACCUUCCUGGCCAUGGAGCAGCUGCUGCAGCAGGCAGGGUCUGAGUGCACCGUGGAUAUCUUUAACGUGGCCCUGCAGCAGUCUCAGGCCUGUGGCCUUAUGACCCCAACACUGAAGCAGUAUGUCUACCUCUACAACUGUCUGAACAGCGCGCUGGCAGACGGGCUGCCCUGAGUCAGCACUGGUCACGGUGCAGGAGAGGCCUGGGCCCAGCGUGUGGGUCUCGUGGGCAAACAUGGAGCCGGGAUGGAAGCUAGGACCUGGAGUCUGGUUGAACUUGGUGACCUAUGGCCCCUAUGCUGUUGGUUUUUCCCCUGAAGCAAUCCUCUCCCUGCUAAUCCUCCAGUUUCUAAAUUUCCUCAGACUUUGGUCUCUCCACGUCUAGUUUCCUGUGGUGCUAAGCCCUGGAUUCAGAAUCACAGCUCCAAAUUGUUUGUCCUCUGCCUCAUCACCCUGUACGCACCAUGCUGUAUGCAGUAGGGUUUAUCCUGUUUCCCACUUCCCUUCUCCUGCCAUCCCCAGCCUUCUCUACCUGCCAGAGCCCCCAGGGGCCACCCUCAGCCCCCACCAGGAUGGAGGUGCCAGAGCUACCCUGUUACUCGGAAGGCAGGUGCUGGAGGCACCCCUCAGGCGGAGGUGCCAAGUUUUCCCUGCUCCUUCUCUGUCUCCUUCUUCCUCCCCUCUACAUAAGAGGUGGGGGAGAAAGCAGGGAAGGCAUAUGGAGAAAGGAAAAACCAGGAGGAGCAGCAGAGACCAGAAAAGAGGGUGGGGAGGCAGCUGUCUGUCCCACACACUGUAGGACUGCACUGCAUACCAUGUGCAUGAUUGCUGGUGGCCACAUGAGCUCCUGCCUGCUUCCCUGGUCAGGCUGGGAGUUUCCAGGUGCAGUGCCUGAUGCUGGACACUAACUGCCCCUGGUGGAAGGCCCUGGGAGGACACAGAGAAAGCCUGGAAAGAUCAGAGCAAGAGUCCCUGAAAUGGAGUCGGGUCUCCCCAAGGGGAAGCGGGGAGAGCUCUUUGGCCAACCUGAGUUCCUACUAAGGUGCAACGGGUCAGAAGUCAGGAGGGUCCUUCUCAGGCCUGGUUGAAGAAGGGUACAGAGGUCGUGCUGGCUGCUCAGCCGGGAGCUUUCCCAGAACGAGACUAAAGCACUGGUGCCCUCCCAGGAGGACUAAAUGCCGGUGUCCUCCAUAUGCCAUGUUUAUCAGGAGCUGAGGGUGGGCCCCCUAAUGACCCUCACAAAAGCAGGCUGGAGGCUCUGCUCUGAGCUGCCCAAGUCUGUCUCAAGCAGCUGCUGCUGAGGUUGCAACAGGGCUCAACCAUGGCUUUUCCACUCUGGGAAAAUCUCACAUUGGAGCAGCAGGAGCUGCAAAUGAGAUGGAGCCAAGGCUAUGGUUGAGUGAAGGAAGUGCAGGCUGGCCUGUGGUAGCUUUCUGCCAUAGGGCAAAGGUGGCUCUAUCUGUGAGUCUUUCUGGUCAUGUAGGCCCAUCCUCUAGCCUUCUUAGGAGGCUCAUCUUCUACUUUCAGCGCCAUGGCACCAACGGGAGGCCUAGGGUCAGGGUCUGCUCAUUUCUUGGUCCGGCUAUGCAGCCCCUCUAGCCCUGGGAGGUUAUCGGAGAGUGGAGAGGUGUUGAUGAGAGGAUUCUGGCAUGUGGAAGGACAGGGUGGAAGAAAUCCUGGAUGCCUCUGAGGUCCCAGGUUUCUGGUAUACCCUCUGGCUGGACCAUGGGGAGACAGGGCAAAAAAGGAAGGAGGGGUGCCCACAGCCUGCUCUAGCUCUGCACUGGGGCUUGGCUCAGCAUGGGAGAGACCAGAGACAGCAAGAGGCUGCGUGAAGGAAGCACAGCCAGCUCACUAUGGUCUAAGGAGAGAACAGGGAUUGGCCUCAGUUUUAACCACCGUGCCCUUUGCUCACCAGGGCUCUGGGGCCGGCCAGGUCAGCCAGUUGGUGGGAUUCCAGCCUCAGGGUGGCCGAGCUGCAGGUGCAGCACCCGGCCUCCAGGUGGCGCCAAUCUGCUUACUUUGAGGUGGCCUCUUGACAAGCAGCUGAGCUGCACGCAGUCCCUCAGCCUGCCGAGGUCCUGGGAGCAGGGAUCAAGGUGGUCCCCGUAAACCUGACAGUAAACCUGACAGAGGCUGCAGGAGUGCAUUUCCACCCAGGGUGCACUCAGCGAGUGGAACUCCACACCCGUUUCUUUGGAGUCAAGGCGCGACCUCUCAGGGAGGAGACUGCUCCUGGUUGCCCACUGCCGGGUCAUCCCAGCUUGCAGUGGAACCCUCCGCAGCCUGGCCUCUUCCAGGGUAGCCCCUCACUCCCCUCUCUCUUGUCCUAGGAUAAGGCCGAGGAGGGCUGACGAGUUCCAGCUCUGGGGAUGCCCUAUCAGCUGUGUCACCUUGAACAAAUCAUUUCUCCUCUUGGGUCUCUGUUUCCUCCAGUGUGAAACGUGGUGAAGGCAUGAGGGGCUAUGAGAGCCCCAAGGCCUCUUUCAGAGAUCUCCUCUGGGUCCCAUGUGACCCCGUGGCUAUCCCCAAAGGCAAGAGGGUCCCCAGCCCUGCAGCCAAGGCCCUGGGACACCCUUUCUAAACAAGUGCAGGUCUCUGACGGGCUGAGCUUUGCUCGCUUGGGUUUCUUUGCUUUUUUCCUUUUUUUAUCUUUCCUGAAUGAAAUUCCUGCCAGCUCCGAAGGAAGGAGGGAAGGGAGCUAGCCGCAGCGUAGAAAGUUUCCUUGACUCCUCCUCCGGCUGGGUCUCCCUCCCUUGCCAAGCCCAGCCUGUGAAACUGAAUAACGAAGAUCACUCAACAAUGCCUGCUCCUCUCUGACUGCACCGCCCCGCCGCCGACGCCCAGUAGAGCCCCCGGGGCGGUCCCCACCGACGGCGCAGCCCGCCGGGACCGGGAGAAAGCAGCUGCGGACACCGCGCCCGUGCGUCUGCGCGCCUGGCCGCCAGGUGACCCAGCAGCCCGGCCGCCGAGAUGCCCAACCCGCCCAGGCUCCGGGCGCUGUGACUUCGCGCCGCUGUGUGCGCCUCCCCGAGCGCCGGCUGCGCCCCCCAGCCCGGCCCGGGGCCUACCGCCUGCCCGGCCCCCUGCCACUGCCAGGAGGACGGCAUCAUGCUGUCUGCCGACUGCUCUUGAGCUUGGGCUGUCCGCCAUACCGGGGGACCUGGAUCCCCUGACGGCUUACCUGUGAGUACUGCCCGCCUGUCUCCACCUGGUACUGCGGGCUGCUGGCUUGCACCCAGUCCUGGCCUCAGCAGGACACCUGCUUGCUUGGUGCCCUGGGGCGUGGGCAUCCCGGAGAGGGUUCACCCCCUUCCAAGUUGACCGUUGCGGGACUGGGGAGGGGAGAAGAGUCUGAGACUAAAUAUCAGGCGAGCAGGGAGACCAGGCUUCCCUGACUUGGCUUCCCCAUUGGCCUCCGUGCUUGUGGGCUGACUGCGGGAGCCCAGGUUUGGCAAGGUGGGUUCUGGACCCUAAGCGGGAGGGCGCGGGGCUGGCUCCCCCAUCUCCUGUUGCUGCAUUCUCUUCCAGCAGAGCAGUGCCCAGGAUGGUGGCUGAGGGUAAAGCUGACAGAACUGGAGGUGGAGGUGAGGGGAGCGUGCCCCAGUGGGGUGGAAAUAAUGUCUGUUCUUCUGCCAUGGUGAGGACAACAGGGCUGUCACACUGAGGCUGGGUGGCCUUCUUUGGGGGGGGGGUCCCAGAAGCUGGGAGGGGGGCCUUAUCCACUCUUGUCUCCUCAGAAAGGGACUCUGCCAGCACCAUCUCCCUUUACUGGGGCCUCCCGGCUCCCCCAGGGGCCUCCCUAAAGUCAUGUCCCAAGAGGCUGUGUUGGAGACACUAAUUUGUGGGCAGGCGCGGAGGCUGAAAAGCGGAGAACCAUUUUUAGCGUCUGAGUUGGGGUGAGAUGGCCCGUGAAGGGGACCCUAUUGGGGGCAGCUGUCCUGUCCGUCUGGCUCACAGGAGCUUCCCCUCAGAGCUGGAGGGCUGGGGGCUCUCGCUGCUUACCACAUGGGCAGGAGGAGGGUGAGAGAGCACAUUCCAGGCCACCUACCCGCACCCCCAGCCCCGCUCUGGGGAAAGGAGACCUCCUCCAGCCCAGCUCUGCAGGCUCCAUCAACUUCCUCAGAGGAGCUGGGAGCAGGUGGGAAAGCCUGGGGCCUUCUGCUGAGGGCUAGGAUCCCAGAGCUCCUUCUGGCCUGAGAGAGACCCCUCAUGGCUUCUAGCAUGUGGGAGUUCUAGCACGUGGGAGCUUAGAGGAAGAGGACGCUGGGCGAAUCUUUAUAGGGGCCUAGCAAGAAUUUGUGGAACUAAAAGGAUGCUCAGUGUUGGCAGUGUCCUGGUGGGAGGCAGAGGGUCCCAGAUGGCAACUCUUCAUGGGGCUCCUCUCCAAAUGUCCCUGUCCCUAGGUUGGGAUGUCCUCCUCCACUCCAAAAGGCACAGGCUGUGGGCCAGGUAAGGGAGUGAGAAGAGAAAAAUAAUGCCCAUCUUCUAGAAGGACAAAUGGAAUCCUUCACAGUGCAGCAGGUGACGGCGGAGGCAGUCAUGGGAAUAAAGCUACCAACUGCACAGAGGCUGGGUGCUCAGCAUCUGGCAAAGCAGGGCAGGCUCCGGCCCCAGCCCACACCCAGGCCAGCCCUGCUUUCAGCAGUUUUCUAUCCUGGGAGUAUGUGACAUUGGUUCAUUGGAAGACAGGGUCCUGUGGCUAAAGAGUUUAGAUAUGACUUCUGUGGAGCCUUUCUCUGGAAGGACCUGGGGUAGGAGGUACACUGUCACCUUUGGAAUUCAAGCAUCCUACCAUCCAUGCUGGCAGAAGAUUUUCCCACUAACUUGUCACAAUUCCCUGGGAGCUGUGAAGUCUGCAUUUGGGUUCAGUGGAGGUGGGGUUUUCUGAGCUGGUCUGUGUCUUCCUGGGGAUUGAGAAAGCCCCCCUCUCUCUCAAGACUCAGGGGAUGCUUCUGAGAAUGGCGGAGAGAAGAGAGGGAGUGGGAGCUAGAAAGAGUACGAUGGGUCCUGAGGCAAUGUGGGGAAUUUAGCAGUGGGGUCUGGAAUAUUGGAAGGAGGUAGCAGAGGACCGUGUUCCCUGCCCUGGGCUGGGGAGGGGUCCCAUCAGGAUGGUGCAUGAGGGAUAUCUACAGUUGUCCUGAGGGUGUCUCAGAGGAGGAAUUUUCUUUCUUUGCCCUCUCUGGAGAACAGCUCUACCACAAAGGCACCUGAAGGUGGGGUUGAGGGCUGGCAUGGAGAAGAGCCAGGGUGGGGAAGUCUUGGGGCUCCUUUCUCUUUUCAGCGAUGUUAGGAGGUGCCCACCUUGGCCCUGCCCCAUGUAUCCCAGCCCUUGCUGAGGACAGCACAGAUUCGCAUCUGAUGAUAUAACCAGCAGUGCCUCUCUCUGGGCCACUCAAACCUUGGUUCCUUCCUAGCUCUGCCACCUACUGAGAGUCACUCACUGAACACCUCUAAGCCUCAGGUUCUUGAUGUGUACAUGGAGAGGAGGAAGCAUGUUGCUGAGAGGAUUAAAUGAGAUAAUAUGUUCAGUGAAAGUCCCCACAGUGCCUGACACCCGAGGGUGACUCUGAAAUGGUGGCUAGUAUUAUCAUGCCUCCUGUGGGUGCUCCGUGGAGGUGGAGGUAAACUACCAGGCCUCUCCACACCAGAGGGAAAUUGAGCCUAGUGGGAAGUAGCAGGCCAGAGAGGACUCGAAGAUCCUUAGAAGGAGCCAUAGACGGAACCAUAGGAGGCGCCCAGGAGCUAUGGGCUCCAGAAGGUACCCGCAAGUCCUCUUGCACAUUCCUUGACCUGGUCUCAAUAAAAAUGACAUCACAUCUCUUCCCCCACUCCACGGCUGUGAGAUUUUCUCUUUCUAGCCAAUACCUUUCAUGAAGUAGGUGCUUCCACCUCUCCAUCUUUGUUCUAGGGAAGACCAGAAAGGCAUCUUUAUAGUCAACUGGUAUUCUUUGCCUUGAUACUCAUGUCCAAAAACUAUUACCACUUUUGGGCUCAAUGCCAGGCCUGUUUGAUCAAGGUUGGGAAGACACACUUCAGAUACUCACAAUCCUUCAUAUGUCUCUCUUUUUUCAACAGUUUCCUCCUAAACUGUGGUCUCAGCGAGGCUCAUUGACACUCACCGGGGUUUCGACAUUCUCCCUGGCUAGGGCCUGUUCUGGAAAUAGACCAAGGGGGAGAUGGAGCCCCUGGCCGUGGGACAUCCAAUCUGAUGGUGAUGAGAAGGCAUGAUGCCUCUUGUUCUAUUCUUUUUUGUUUCUUCUUUUUUUUUAAAUAAAAAAGACCAGUAAUGUGCUGACUUCAUAACAAGGUUUGAGGGAGGCACUUCUCACACGUGAGCAUGAAAACCCAAUCGUCACGCUUCUUAACUGCAAAAGGAUCACCUCUUGUUCUAUUGUAUUGCAUGUACACAUGAUGCACAGACAGGAAUACACAGACAGCAAAUAACUUGUUGGGCAGAUAAUCCCCGGAGUUGUUCCUGAGUAGAAAGAUCUGGGUAGUUACUCUGGGCCCCCAAGGCUGAGCAGUGUCAGUAAACAGAUGGUGCCAGAAAAGGUAUCUCACGCAGCUAGUUGUGAAAGACGUCAGGCUCAUGCACUUGCAGUCACACCUAAGCACCCAUUUUCAUAGCCCACUGCCACCAGGGCUGAGGGAGGGGCCGCUACACCAUGCAACCCCCACUUCAGACUGCUGUUUGCUUUCUUGGGAAUUAUAACUUUAAGAUUGCCUGUGAUAACUGAUAACCACUGGACUUGUUUGAAAGGUUAGAUGGUGUGUGCAUGUGUGUCUGUAUGUGCGUGUGUGUCUGUGUGUGUCUGCGUGUUUCUCUGUGUGUGUGUAGAUACAGGGUAAUUUGCAGGGGAUGUCUACAGCCAAAAUGAUGGAGGCAGGAUGCUGGAGGCAGAGAGUAAGGGGUUGUGGCAUUUGCCACAACAAAGCAGAGUUCAAACUAUCACUUACUAGCUAUGUAACCCCCAGCCAGUUGAUUAGCCCUUCUGUGACUUAGUUUCCUCACCUGUAAACAGGGUUAAGAUCUACCUCAUAGGGUUGUUGUGUGGAUUCACUUAGAUGAUGUUUGCAAAGGGUUUGGCAUAAUGUCUGGUACAUGGGAAGAGCUCAAUAAAUGUUAGCCAGUGCUGUUAUUAGGAUAACCAGGGCGAAGAAAUGUCAGUCAUGGAAGUCUUCCUGGAGGAGGAAGUCCUGGAGCUAGCAUGGGAGGGAGGGAAGCAGGCCUAUUCUAUGAAAGGUGUAGGAUAGGUGUGUGUGUAGUUGCGGGCUGUGAGAGGUGCAAGAAGCUGCGAAGAAGAUGGAAUGAGCUCUGCUGGGAACCCAGAGUAAUUUUAGGGUUUUUUUUUUUUGUUUUUUUUUUUUUUAGAAUACAGUCUGAAAAACCAGGGAGGGGAGGGGAGCACCUGAUGGAAGACGCCAGCGUGCUCCCUUACAUGGUCUAGACGGGCCCCUGCAGGGGCUACAGAUGAGGAGGCAGAGAAACAGGCGGCCUUAACAGGGGAGAGCCAGCCUUGGAGAGGAUGUAUUGUGAAUUGGGGGUGGGGGUGCCAACGUGCCAGGUCUCAUUUCUCACUUCCAAGGCCACCCUUCCCUGGCCCAGUCUUAGUCGCCCUUUCUAAUAGAUUCUAAGAGUUUGACUCCUCCUUCCGGAAACUUGGGGUUUGUGAGUUCUAAUCUUCAGUCUCUCAGUUGCUAUGAGACCCUGUGCAAGUCCCAAAACUUCCCUGGACCUCAAUGUCCAGAGAAGCCAUGUUUUGGAUGAAAAACUAGAAAGUGGGAGAGGCAGGGCGCAAUCCUCUUUGAGUCUCCUGCUCCUGGUGUGGGACAGAGAAAGCUCCCAGGGAGAGCUGCUCAGCUGCAGGCAGUGAGGGAAGGGAAGGAGGGAAGGGGAGGACCCAGGCAGCAUCCAGACCAGGGUGGGGAAGAGAACUUAUUCUUAAGCAACUUAUUCUUAAGCAGCUUCCUGUUCUCUUAGCCUUGAACUUGAAGCCAGGAAUAGGGACAGGGAUAGAAGAGCCAAGGCUUGGAGCCGCUGGCCUAUGCAGAUGCACUUGCUUGUCCAGCAACAGUUGGACAGGGCCUGGCCUGGGCAAUGUGCUCCGGGGUGCAUGGAAAAUGUGGUCAUUCUUUGUCCGGGGGAUUCUUCUUAUUCCCUCCCAUUUCUCUUUACAGAGAAUUUUACACUUCCUUGCAGACACUGAAUUAUUGUGUUAAAUUAUUAUAACUUAAUAGCUUGUGAAAUAUACAAACAACAAGAUUAUGCCGACAUGGCUGUUAGAAGACAAGACAAAUUAGCAGACUCAUGCUCAUUUCUGUCAUUGAACAAUUCGUCUCAUUCCUUCCUCAAGGCGCUGCCGUUUUCCUGCUCUCCGUCCGUGGGGGUGUUUGUUUACACAUCUCUCGCAAGAAAAGCGCUUCUCUCUGGCUUCCCUCUGCCUCCCCCCCUCCUUCCUGCCCUCUCCCCUGCCUUCCCUUCCUCCUUCCUUCUCUCCCUCCCUCCUUUUCUCCCCGUUCCUUUCUUCCCUUCUCUCUGUCCUUCCCCCUUCCUUCCUUUACUGAUGUAACAACCUUGGUGUGCCGUGGCUAAGCCACACUCCACCCCUGACCUGCGGGGGAUGAGUCAAACGGUCAGACUUGCCUGGGCUUGUUCCACGCUCCCCUGGCUAGACAGGCGUCUACACAUUCUCAGUUAGGGGCUGGACAGGGGCAGCUGCUAGACAGGUCCUAUUCUGGGCCUCUCUGAGAAAAAGUGUCCCUGAAAAGAAAGGGAGCUCCCACUUCCAUGGACCCUUAGCCAUGCCAAGGGGCAGUACCGGCUUUCUGCUGGUGCUGAUGAGCUGUGGUGUGAACUCACGAAGGUCAGCUGAUUCACGGGCCCUGGAUCUCUGCUCUCCUUCCGCUAAGUGGGACUCGGGCCAGCCUGCCAUGAAGGAGGUAGCUGCUGCAGCUUUCAGGAAGGAACACCAGGUGUCAACCCCACCGGGUGGCCAACCCCACCUGGCUAGGACCCAGUCCCUGGUGGCUGCUCUCCCGAGAGGCGGGCAGGGCUGGGGCUAGGGGCUGUCCAGGAGUGUUCUGGACUGUCCCUUCGCCACAAUUCCCACAGGCUGCUCAGGACCGAGGCUGAGACGGGCGACCAGGACGGGAUUGUAUGGCUGCAGGAGGCUACACAGUCCCAGGAGGCUGCUUCUAAGAGGCCCACGUGGCCUGCAUGGGGAUGCGCCUGGCUGUCCAGCAUGUGGUCAUUUGAAUUGUACAUGUUUCACUGGGAUGCCUACAGAAAAGUAGACAGAAGAUGUGGAAAAAGUUUUUGAAAUGUUGCAAACUUAGCUACUUUUAAAAUAAAAAAAAUAGCUUUAUAAUUAUAAAAGCAAUAUGUAAAUCUUAAAAUAAUUUGCUACAUUCUAGUAAGCAUCUUAUGAUCUCUAUGUGCCCUAUAACAUUAUGUUGUAUAGUUUAAAUAUAUACAAUAAAAUCUAUUUUAAAAAAUAGCAGGCAAUUAAAUCUCAUUUUAAAAAGAGUCAGUUUAACUCCCUUCUAAUUUCUACCCCUCGUUUUCCCUCUGUGUGUGUGUAUGUGUGUAUGUCAUCUUCGUUAAAUGGCUCAAUGCAUUCCGAAUAUUUUUUCCGUUGUCUUCAUGAUAUAUUCAUGGGAAGGGGAGUAUGUGGCUUAUUGCUGUUAGUUUAUCAAUAGAGAAUGCUGGCCAAAUGUCUUUAAGAGUAAUGACGAUCUCAAUAGCGGUAAUGACAGCUACCACUUUCGGAGCUCCUCCUGCCUACCAGGCACCACUGGGGUCCCUCUCUGCAGCCCCUCACGCCAUCCUCCUAGUCACUUUCUGAGGUGUGUGUGGUCAUCCUCCCAUUUGCAGGAGGGCUCUGAAGCACAGGAAGGUUCGAUACUUACCCCAUGGCCGGGAUAAGAUGGGCCAGGGCCAGGCUGUGAACUAAGGCAGAGAAGGGGCUCUCCAGCACCUUUCCUGAGCCCUUGCCUCCUCUGCCUCUGCCCCAUGGCCAUCUGGUGGGUGGACACAGCUAAGCCAUGGCUAGAACCCAGCAUUCUCAUGACUGCUUUAACCAUAGAAAAUCACAAGUUGCAAGCAACGGGACACACAUUUACUUGUCUACAUUAGCACUUGUGAUGAAGAUAAUUCAUGCUAUUUUUUUCCCCAUUCGGAACGUACCUGUCCUUAGAAUAGUUAGAGAAGUUUUAUGAGGAUUGUGUAACUAGCAUUAACUUAGGUCACCUAAUUCUUGAUCAACCAAAUCGCAGGUCAAACAAAGGAGGCCUAUGCCUUCAUAGAAAGCAUCAGUUAAUGUCCAUUUAAAAACUGAUGCUGGCCGGGCCCGGUGGCUCAUGCCUGUAAUCCCAGCACUUUGGGAGGCCGAGGCGGGUGGAUCACGAGCUCAGGAGAUCGAGACCAUCCUGGCUAACACGGUGAAAACCCAUCUCUAUUAAAAAUACAAAAAUUAGCUGGGCGUGGUGGCACAUGCCUGUAAUCCCAGCUACUUGGGAGGCUGAAGCAGGGAGAAUUGCUUGAACUCUGGAGGUGAAGGUUACAGUGAACCAAGAUCGUGUCAUUUCACUACAGCCUGGGUGACAGAGCGAAAGUCUGUCUCAAAAAAAAAAAACAAACAAACUGAUGUUGCAUCUUCCAGUCUAAAAUAAAAAUACAUUGUUAACCAUUUUUAUGUUUACAAAACCUACAGUUUUAUAGUUCUAAAAGUAGUACAUGUUCAUUACUUUUUAUUUAUUUAUUUAUUUUUUGAGACAGAGUCUCACUCUGUGGCUGGAGUGCAGUGGCGCGAUCAAGGCUCACUGCAAGCUCCGCCUCCCGGGUUUACGCCAUUCUCCUGCCUCAGUCUCCCGAGUAGCUGAGAUUACAGGCAUGAGCCACCGCGCCCAGUCCAUGUUCAUUACUUUUUAAAGAUCAGUCAAUUAAAGCUAAUUUUUAAGAAAGAAUUAAGCUUAUAUAUUCUUCCAAUGUCUAACAUCUAUUUUCUUAUAAGUGUGUCUUAUUUCAUGGAAAUAAUGCCUCAUUUAUUAUUUUAGUAAGUUUUGGCAACCUAGUUAACUCAGUUCACUUGUCCAGUAUGUCAAAUCUUCAUUUUACUCUGGGACCAACUGUGAAGACAUCUGGAACCAAGGGGUGUGGUAGGGGUUAUAUGGCUCUGUUGUUUGUAGUUAGCUUUGCAUUUUUGCUUCUUGAUCAUUAGAUCAGAAACUAGACCUCAUCUCAUGAGUGCUUAUGUAUUGAUUGAUUAUUUGGGUCAGUCAGGGUUGCUGACAUUUGAAAUGCAUGCAGGGUAGGAAUAAAAUGGUUGUGAUGCAUUUGGUUAGCAAAUAGCCCACUUUCCCAGGACUGAUGAGAGGGACAUUUGGAGGCUCAUGACAGGCAGCAUGAUAGAGGGGAGUCAGCCUGGUCUCACCGGCAGGUCUUCAAAGCUCAGACUUUCGUGUCUGUGGAAGGCUGGGUUACACGAUUUAACAAAAACAAACCUGAAGAGUCCUCUUGUCAUUGGUAAGCUCCCAUCCCCAGAAAUCAUCCAGUAUAUUUCUCUCUCCACACCUGGGAGACACUUUCGAUUCAUCUAGAAGUUUCUUGAAUUGUUCUUUGGCUAGCAGCAAUUUACUUUUCUUUUCCUUGUAUUCUUCUUUUAUUCUUGUCUUGACAAACUGUUCAAAUAUCUUAAAACACAGACACAGAAGAAAAACAUCUGACAUUUUGGUAUCUUUCAUCUGACCAUCCAUAUCCAAUGUUCUCAUUUAAACAUUACCCAGCAUCAUUGUUUAUAAUCAGAAACUCUGGUCCUCCUGUCUGGUGGCACUUAGAGUCUUUUGUGCCAUAAUGCAGCAGUAUGGAGGGAGGAUUUUAUGGGGAAAUGGGGAUAGUCUUCAUGACCACAAAUAAAUAAAUAAAGGAAAACUAAGCUGCAUUGUGGGUUUUGAAAAGGUUAUUAUACUUCUUAACAAUUCUUUUUUUCAGGGACUUUUCUAGCAGUAUGACUGUUACUUGACCUUCUUUUAAAAGCAUUCCCAAAAUGCUCUAUUUUAGAUAGAUUAACAUUAACCAACAUAAUUUUUUUUAGAUCGAGUCAGCAUAAAUUUCUAAGUCAGCCUCUAGUCGUGUUUCAUCUCUUUCACCUGCAUUUUAUUUGCUGUUUGUCUGAAGAAAGGAAAGAGGAAAGCAAAUACGAAUUGUACUAUUUGUACCAAAUCUUUGGGAUUCAUUGGCAAAUAAUUUCAGUGUGGUGUAUUAUUAAAUAAAAAAAAAACUUUGUUUCCUAGGUUGAAGGUCUAAUUGAUACGUUUGACUUAUGAUGACCGUUUAUGCACUUUCAAAUGAAUUUGCUUUCAAAAUAAAUGAAGAGCAGCUGUCCUUCUUUCCUCUUUUAAGUGUUCAGCUGUGGCAUGCUCAGAGGUUCCUGCUGGAUUCCAGCUGGAGCAGUGUGAUACCCUUCUUUUUCAGCUGUUCGUGCCUUCCUUUCUUGUAUCCACCAAAGUGGAGACAAAAACAUGAUCUCAAAGAUACACAGUACCUACUUAAUUCCAGCUGAUGGGAGACCAAAGAAUUUGCAAGUGGAUGGUUUGGUAUCACUGUAAAUAAAAAGAGGGCCUGGGAAUUCUUGCGAUUCCAAAAAAAAAAAAAAAAGAAAAACAUCAUGAAAUUGCAUAUUAGAAAUGAAAUCUUGUAUUCCAAGCACAACAUGAGAAAGCAGCAAGAAUCUAUGGCAAAAGCUGUUCUUGUUCACAGCUGCUGGAGUUAUGAGCAAUAGCCUUUCAGCAUAGCUCUCAAGGAUCCAAGCGGUCUGAAUAAUUAAACCUGGGUCCCCACACGGCCCGGCGUUUCUCUACAUGCAGGUGCCAUUUCUGGGUCAAAUGUGAAACAGCCCUGCUGGAGAAACCCGGAGAAUGACUUGGCUGCCCUCUCUGCAGGCGUCUGGAACCAAGUGGUGGUUUGGAACCUGUGCUGUAGGCUGCAGUGGUCCUCACUGUGGCCUCUGAGCAGCAUCCGUCAUGCGCGGCCUCCUCACUUUCUCAUCACGGCCAGUGGCACCAGAACAUAGUAGAGCACUUAGUUCAUGCUAGUCACUUCCUAGGGUGACGUAAUUGACAUUCUCCCAAAAUGAGUCUCCCAAAAAUGACCUUAACUUGUGAAAAGAAAGUAAAUUCUGCAUCUCUGAUCCCCACUUGUGAACCUGGGUGUCUGGCACCUUGGGGAGGACUCAGGGCGCAUAAGCGGCCUCUUCUGAGGAGGUCACGGGAUGCCAGGCUGCCUGGGUCAUCAGUGUGGAAACAACUGGCCAGGAGGCCUGACCCUCAGGUACUGGGCACGCCCCUGUCUGACCAGAAAUGCAUCUCAAAUGCUGCCCCAAACAGGAAAACCCUGUUCUUCAGUGGGAAGAACACGCACAUCAGCCGGCAGGCAAUUCUGGGCAAGUCUCCAGGGCACUUCUCCUGGAACCUGGCAGCCCACAUAACGAGAUGCAAUCUCUUUGUGACAGGCCACAGAACCUCUUCUCUGUCAGAGUAAGAUGGAUCACUGUUCUAACAACUGAAAAACGGUCAUUUAUGGACUACAGAGUCAAAGAGGGACAAAGUUCUUUCAUUCCUCAUGCUACCCCAAACUCAAGAAUGUUAAAAAUAAACUGAAGAUAAGUGCUUAUGCAAACAUAAAUAAAAAUAUCAAGAGAAAGUCCACAUAGGAUCCUAUAAGGCCAAUAAAUAGCAACUGUGCACCAAUCCAACCAACUGCCAGGCCGAUCCUAGAAUGUGACCGAGGACCAAGCAGGCAGCUUCUUCUACACUCAUGCCAACUCUCUUCCCACUUUUCUUAUUGUUUCAGAUUCCAUGUCAGUAGUGGCAAACCUUUACAGGAUUAUGAAUACAAAAUGCCACUGGUCUCCUGAAGAUACAGCAGCAAAAUGAAACAUCCACAAAUAUGACUUAAAUUGAGAAUAUGUGCAUGUCUAUAACUCCACCCUUCACUGUGCUGCGGUUGUUCUCUGGACCACUCCUAUUUCAUCAGUGUUAUUGUCAACCUGAAGAACAAGCAGAAAGAGGCUCUCUGAAAUGAAAUGGAUGCUUAUUUGGGAAGAGAGCAUUGCAACGGGAAUACACAUGCCAUCGUAAAUGACAAGAAUAUUCAGGGAGGGCUGUCUCUCCCGAUCUGAAACCCCAAUUAUACCUGUGAAGGCAUGGCAUUCUGGAACACCCCAUUUCAAAAGGAGAAAUUAUAUUUGUAAAAAUUUUCAGAACCCCUACAGACCAUAACAAAGAGUAAUGUCUUGAAAACAGGCUGAGUUUAGUUGAUUUGUAAUCAAAGUUUAACCUCUUUUAGGACCCCAUCACAUUUGGCUGCCAUAUCUCCUUGGACUCCUCUUGGCUGUGACAGGGUCUCAGACGGCCCUUGCCGUUGAUGACCUUGAUGGUUUGAAGAGCCCUAAUCAGGUGCAUUGCAGGACGCUCCUCAGUUGGGAUUUGUCUGAGGCUUUCCUCGUAAAUAGCCUGGGGUUAUGGGUUUUGGGAGGAAGACCACACAGAUAAAUGCCAUUCUCAUCAUGUCAUAACAAGGGUACACACGCUGCUGACAUGACUCUUCACUGACAGUGGUGGCUGUAGUCGGCUGGCUGAGGUCUCCCCACUGUGAAGUCCCCCUCUCCAUGCUGUACUCUCUGGAAGGACGUCGCCAUGCACAGCCGACACUUAGGGGUAUGGGUUGUGCUCCACUUCCGAGGAGGAGAAGUAGCUACAUGAGUGACUGGGAAAUGUCCUGGGGGGGAUACUCAUCCAUGCCUCCACAUUACUUAUGUACUCAAUCUUUUAUUUAUAUUGCUAUGGACUCAUGGAUACUCAGCCCAUGCUCGGGCUGGACUCCAGUGUGACUUUGCUUCUUUUCCUGCUCAGCUUCUUCGAGGUUGGCCUUGGUGAGCUCCCGUGGUGGGUUCCCAGCUCCUGUGUGCCUCUGACAGGUGCUCAUCACUUGGCUUUUUGGGCAUCUCCUUAAUUUCUGCUACUAAAGAUGCUCCUGGCUUAUCUUCUGCAUGUCCUGCCUUUGCCCUUGAAUCAGUCAAUUCUCCAAGAAGCUCUGGCUCCUUUCCUAGAACAGUGUUAGAAACCAAGAUCUGGGCACUGGUGUGUUCAUUGCUAGUGAGGUGUUGUUGCUUCUAGACUCUCUCAGCUGAUAGAGCAAGGGAAUGUUUAAGCCAUUUAGAACAUAAAUGCAUUCAUUUAAAAACAUGGACUAUGUAUUCACUGUGCCUUGGGCCCCAAGCUGGGUGUUGAGGAUCUUGAGAAAAUAAAUCAAGGAAGCCCAUGGUCUAGGGUAGUGCUGGUGAGGAGAUAACAGACUCUUGAGAUGGCACUAGGGCCAUGGCGGAGACAGACCUGGACACUAGUGGGACCCAGCAAAGACCCACAGCAGCCUGGGGAGGCGGCUUCCAGAGUGCUGCGACUUUGGAACAUGAAUACUCCUGAGGGUUCACAAACGAGCCUGGGGGGUAUUCCAGGACCAGCUGGUAGGGGGGCAAAGGUUGGGUCAUGAACUAUGGGGAAUGCAAGAAUUGCAAGAGGUUGAACAUGCCUGGGGGUGCAGAGACAGAGGCUGAGGUGCAGGGCAGUCUGAGACAUGGUUAGGAGCCUGGGCAUUCUCUUGAGAGACAGGGGAGAAGAAAAUUCAGAUGGAGCGUUCAUUUCAGGAAGGCCACCCUGGGAUCUGGGCAGGAGAUGAAUACCUGGCAGGGUCAGGGAAGGGAAGGUAAUUGAAAGUUUACAAAAACAAAACCCCAUUCACAUUCUUAAAGUAUUCUUCAUAGAGGUACUAUUUCAAUAAACACAUGCUUUAUUUGUAUAUUAUAACAGAUGAAUUUUCUUCACUGGCAAUUUCUAUCUUUAACUGUCAAAUUUAAGCCUUUUCUGUAAUACCCAUGAGCUCUUUUAUUGGGUGGGAUGACCCAGGGUCCAGCCAGGGAUUCUCCUCCACAGAGUGAGAACACGGUGAAGCAUAGCUGGGACUCAGGGCGAGGUGGCGAUUCAGGGGGGUUUCCAGGCAGAAUGGAUCCGUUUAGCUUCGACUGAGUGCACCUGCCCCCAGGAGCGGGUCUCCAGGCAGAAUGGAUCCCUUUAGCUUUGACUAGUGCACCUGCCCCCGGGAGCAUCUGGGGCUGUUAGAGAAGCUGUGGGCAGCCUCCACUCAGCCCAAUCAGAUGGCACACACCCACCUCAUGGGGACCUGUGCACAGCUGGAUGGUCCCAGCUCUGCAGGGAGAGAGGAUUAGACCCUGUGUGGCAUAACGACACCAGUUUCUGGAAAAUGUUGGAGUUCUAGAAGUAUAAUAAAAUAAUUUUUCAAUUAAUGAUGUGUAGUUUUUGCCCCCGAAGGGAUUUAUAAUCUCUAUAGAAGGUCAGAUAAGCCAUCUCUACAAUGAUUACAACUCAUAAUGAUAAAACCAACUGUGUCAUGUCAGGGACAGUUCAGGGAAGGGUGAGAGCACAGUGGCUGGGACCCAGGAUGGAGGUGGGGGCUGAAGUGAAGGCUGCACAGCCAUGUGUGAAACAGGGUCUUUCCCUGACCUCCAGGUGGGCGCAGGACUUCUCCCAAAGGGUCCUGACAGCUAUGGGGACGAGGAGUCCUAUGAACUGCUCCUGAGGGAAGCCCGUCGUUCCCGAGCCUGUGUGAAACACUUAUGAUGCCCAGAGAGUACAUUCCAUGGGGCCACGAUUGCACACGUGUGUGUGACUAUACACACACACAUAAGCACACACACCACACAUACAAACAUUCACAGAGGCGCAUGUACACAUGCAAACACAUGAACACACCCAGGACACGCUAAGAUAUGCAUACACAGGCACACAUGUACAUAGUUGCACAAAUGCAUACAUAUGUACAAAGAUGCACACAUUGAUACACACAUGCACAUGUGUGCCUACACACACACACACACACACACACACACACAGUACCACUACCACCACCAAGGAAGUCCAACAUUGUAGAACAACCAGGGGAAGAAAGCCCGUCAACUGAGUAGACAGCAAGCUGCGUAUCUCUUUUAAGUCCGUCUAUGUCGUGGGACUGUUCUGUAAGUGGCCGUGGACAAACCCAGCUCUCCCUGUUUCUGGCUGGUACCUCUCCAGAAUGACUGGAAUGCACUGGGAAUGCAACAGACUGAGAACAAUCAGGCUUUGUUUGGGCCCCGCCCCAGAAACAAGACAUCCUUCAAGCUUUAGCCCAGCAUUCACAGGACCCCAGGGUAUAAAACCCACUGCGGGCUGCUUUCUGGGAUCCCUUGGUUACAGCAAAGGGUAGAUGCGACUCCGUCCCCUCCUUGCAGCUUUCCUGGGCCUGGGGGACUGGCUUACAAGCACCUUCAUCUUCUACCACCCUUGCUUCCUGUCUGCGGGGAAUAAACGCACUUCAGAUGAUUUGCUGCUCAUCUUCUACCACCCUUGCUUCCUGUCUGCAGGGAAUAAACCCACAUUCCCUGCCCUCCAGCACUGAAUAGUAUCCGUGGAGGACUAGUGGAGAAUAAAGAAUUUUGCUGUUGCCCAGAGAUGACCAGGCCACCCCCACGUCCUGUAUUGUCUGUGGAGGUCACAUGCGGCCAGUAAGGAGGAAUGUCUACCUCUCCCAGGCAUCGGGGUAUCAAUGGGCACCCCAAUGGGGAGCCAGGAUUGCUAUCCUCACCUAUGCUGUAAUAAAGGCCCCCCUGUGUGUAUUGAUGGAGCUCAAGUGGAAAGAUGGAUUAUACCCUCACCGAAC